GAUGAAGAACGUAGCGAAAUGCGAUAAGUAAUGUGAAUUGCAGAAUUCAGUGAAUCAUCGAAUCUUUGAACGCACAUUGCGCCCCCCAGUAUUCUGGCGGGCAUGCCUGUUCGAGCGUCAUUUCAACCAUCAAGCCCUGCUUGUGUUGGGGUCCUGCGGCUGCCCGCAGGCCCUGAAAACCAGUGGCGGGCUCGCUAGUCACACCGAGCGCAGUAGCACAUCUCGCUCAGGGCGUGCGGCGGGCUCCAGCCGUUAAAGCACCCACCUUUCGCAAGGUUGACCUCGGAUCAGGUAGGAAUACCCGCUGAACUUAAGCAUAUCAAUAAGCGGAGA
rnacentral:misc_RNA from 1 species